rnacentral:lncRNA from 1 species
CUUCUUGUAUAGUCUUAAUGAUCAUUCUUGAAAAGUUGAGUGGGAUGCAUUGGACUCAUGAUAUAUAAUUACUAAGUUUCUCUCUAUUACAGCAUCAAAUUCUCCUGUUCUAUGUUAUAUAAUCCAGCAAAUAAUGAUAUGAAGGAGUCUCAUUUCAAUAUUUAAGUGUCACCCAUGAAUUUUACAAAAUUGACCGUGAUUUUCUACCCCAAGAACAGUUUCUAUUCUUAC